UACGUAGGUGGCAAGCGUUUGUCCGGAUUUACUGGGCGUAAAGAGCGCGCAGGCGGUCGAAUAAGUCGAAUGUGAAAGCCCCCGGCUUAACUGGGGAGGGUCAUUCGAUACUGCUCGACUUGAAGGCAGGAGAGGGUAGUGGAAUUCCCGGUGUAGUGGUGAAGUGCGUAGAUAUCGGGAGGAACACCAGUGGCGAAGGCGACUACCUGGCCUGUUCUUGACGCUGAGGCGCGAAAGCUGGGGGGAGCAAACGGGG
rnacentral:rRNA from 1 species